rnacentral:lncRNA from 1 species
AUUAAUUAAAUAAGGAUAAUAUGGUAAAUUCACACAUUUUCACAUAAAUUUUUUUUAAAAUGAAAAAUCAGAUAAUAAAUCCUAUUUUUAUGGAACACAACUACCCAUUAUCUUUUUUAAUUCUAAAAUAAAUUUAAAAUAUAAUUACAAAUAAAUAAAUAAUAAUAAAAUACAAUUACAAAUUAAAGUAAAUACAAAAAAAAAAAAUACAUUCAACUAAGAAGUUGGCGGGAAAAAAAAAUAUAAAAUAAAAAAGGUAAAAUCGGCCUAGGCGCUAGGCGCCCGCCUAGGCGGCCUGGUUUUUUGUUUUUGUUUUUCCCUGACUUUAAAGAAAACACGCUGCCUCCUCUGAGUUGGGUACUUCUCUCUCUCACGAGUCACGACAGACCACCACCACCAGGGCUCCACCCGCGACGACCACCACAAGGCUGCGACCAGCGACCCCCGAACCCCGUAAAGAAUUUGGGUUGUCCUCUUCGGCCGAAACAAGUGCAUUUGCUGAUGUGGUGGGCAAGCUUGUCUUAAAGUAAAACAAAGUGUGAAGAAUCAAGACUGGUUUAAGUUGUGUUUUUACGAUCAUUUCAGUUUUAAUUCCAAAUUCCAUUUUUCAAUUGAGAUUGUUUACAGUAAAUCUCCUAACCUCAUAGAAUAAGAAACUUAUUUCAAAAGAAUUUCUUUACCAGCCUGAGAAAGAAACUAUUCUUUCCAAGUUUCCAACCAUUAAGACGAUGCUAACAGACCGAAAUAAUUCCUUCUUACCCCUACCAGCCAAAGUAGGCAGAAAUAAAUAAAAAAGGCAUCUAUGUCUAUAUCUAUAAUUUCCUAAAAAAGUAUCUAUAGAAAUUAUGAAAAAAUAAAUAAAUUAUAUAUCUAUUUAAAGGCACAGGCACAGGCAUCAAACCCUGAAAAAGAUUUGUCUUCUCUUCUCUCCACCCAUCACUCGCUCGUUCCAAGAAAGAAAGAAUGAUUGACGAGUCGAUGCGAGUCAUUUUAGAGAUUAUCGACGCUGUGAUGAAAAAAAG